rnacentral:rRNA from 1 species
AGGGUUUGAUCAUGGCUCAGAACGUACGCUGGCGGCACGCCUAACACAUGCAAGUCGAACGAAGUAGCAAUACUUAGUGGCAGACGGGUGAGUAACAUGUAGGUAUCUGCCCUUUGGCCUGGAAUAACACGAGGAAACUUGUGCUAAUACCGGAUAAGUCUUUACAGAGAAAGCUUUAUGCACCAUUGGAUGAGCCUGCACUUGAUUAGUUUGUUGGUGGGGUAAUGGCCUACCAAGACUGUGAUCAAUAGCUGAUUUGAGAGGAUGAUCAGCCACAUUGGGACUGAGACACGGCCCAAACUCCUACGGGAGGCAGCAGUGGGGAAUCUUGCACAAUGGAGGAAACUCUGAUGCAGCGAUGCCGCGUGAGUGAAGAAGGCCUUUGGGUUGUAAAGCUCUUUCGUCGGGGAAGAAAAUGACUGUACCCGAAUAAGAAGGUCCGGCUAACUUCGUGCCAGCAGCCGCGGUAAUACGAAGGGACCUAGCGUAGUUCGGAAUUACUGGGCUUAAAGAGUUCGUAGGUUGUUAAAAAAGUUGGUGGUGAAAUCCCAGAGCUUAACUCUGGAACUGCCAUCAAAACUUUUUAGCUAGAGUUUGAUAGAGGAAAGCAGAAUUUCUAGUGUAGAGGUGAAAUUCGUAGAUAUUAGAAAGAAUACCAAUUGCGAAGGCAGCUUUCUGGAUCAUUACUGACGCUGAGGAACGAAAGCAUGGGUAGCGAAGAGGAUUAGAUACCCUCGUAGUCCAUGCCGUAAACGAUGUGUGUUAGACGUUGGAAAUUUAUUUUCAGUGUCGCAGCGAAAGCAAUAAACACACCGCCUGGGGAGUACGACCGCAAGGUUAAAACUCAAAUGAAUUGACGGGGACCCGCACAAGUAGUGGAGCAUGUGGUUUAAUUCGAAGAUACGCGCAGAACCUUACCAACACUUGACAUGUUCGUCGCGACUUUAAGAGAUUAAAGUUUUCGGUUCGGCCGGACGAAACACAGGUGCUGCAUGGCUGUCGUCAGCUCGUGUCGUGAGAUGUUGGGUUAAGUCCCGCAACGAGCGCAACCCACGUUUUUAGUUGCCAGCAUUUAGUUGGGCACUCUAGAAAGACCGCCGGUGAUAAACCGGAGG